AGAAACUAGAGUGCAUAGGGCUGUGAGAAGUUCUAAGGCAUUUGUGUAUUGCACCGGAGACUGAAAGAAGGGUGAGGUUUUGGGGGCUCUGAUGUGCAAGUGUUGCCACCUUUAAAUGGCCCCUUACUCUCAUAAUCAGUGCUGAGUAGUGGCAAGGGGGAGAAAAUGGAAAAGUUGGCAUGGGAGAGAAGGCAGAUCCAGAAGAUAGGAUACAGCUCAGCCCUGAGAAUGUGGCCUGAUUUUCUCUUCUGUUAUUACAACUGCUCUUCUGCUUGAGUUUCUUCUACACCUUCAAGAUGGCUGAAGAACAAGAUGCUUUCUCUCCAUGUCUAUGCUGUUUCACUAUGCUGCAAAUAUUCCCAGCCUUUUCCCCUUGAUGCCCAAAAUAAAUUCCUCAAAUACCC
rnacentral:lncRNA from 1 species